rnacentral:rRNA from 1 species
GUAGGUGGCAAGCGUUGUCCGGAAUUAUUGGGCGUAAAGCGCGCGCAGGCGGUCCUUUAAGUCUGAUGUGAAAGCCCACGGCUCAACCGUGGUGGGUCAUUGGAAACUGGGGGACUUGAGUACAGAAGAGGAAAGCGGAAUUCCAAGUGUAGCGGUGAAAUGCGUAGAGAUUUGGAGGAACACCAGUGGCGAAGGCGGCUUUCUGGUCUGUAACUGACGCUGAGGCGCGAAAGCGUGGGGAGCAAACAGGAUUAGAUACCCUGGUAGUCCACGCCGUAAACGAUGAGUGCUAAGUGUUAGGGGGUUUCCCGCCCCCUUAGUGCUGCAGCUAACGCAUUAAGCACUCCGCCUGGGGGAGUACGGCCGCAAGGCUG